rnacentral:misc_RNA from 1 species
AAGUCGUAACAAGGUUUCCGUAGGUGAACCUGCGGAAGGAUCAUUAUUACGUAUCCACGUAUCAAAACCAAAUCGUGAACUGUUUCCCAUCUAGUGAGGGCCUCUGCGAGUCUGAAAUUAAAAAAAUGCACAGUGAGCAAGAGCCUGAAAACUCUUGUGAACCAGACUCGGUCCUGAACCAACAAAAAUUCAGGGAAAUUUUAUUUUCCUUGUUCUUUUGUUGUUCAGCUCGCUAGGUGUGGUAAUUUUUUUGUUCGCCACUGUGCUGCAAACUAUUAACCCCUUGUAAACAAUUGAACUAAAUUACUGAGAAGUGUUGGACUUCGGUUCGGCAAUUUCUCUGGAUAACCGAAAUUUAAGAACAACUCUUAACAACGGAUAUCUUGGUUCUC